AGGAUGGCCUCCAGCAGAGCUGCUCUCACUGCCGGGGCUCGGGGCAGAUGAGUUGCGUUUUCUGCCACGGGGAGGGCAGGGUGUCCUGUGCCCGCUGUGCCACCAAGGGGCUCUUGCUGUGCUACCUGGAGCUGACCAUCACCUGGAAGAACAGCGUGGCGGAGUACACGGCCGAGGCGGGGCACAGCCUCCCCCCGUGCCGCCUGCGGGAGGCGACAGGCCAGCAGCUCUGCAGCCAGGAGCACCACCGGGUAACCUGCCCCCUGCCAGCAGCCUCUCCGGGCGCACAGGGACGUGGUUCUGGGCUUCCCUUCAGCCACGGAGCCUCUUCGGGUGCAGGGGUGCAGCAGAUGCAGGUGGCAGAGCUUCUGCGGCAGAGUUCAGCAGGCUCAGGGAGCGUGGGAUGGAAGAGCAGGCAGGGAGGUGCCUUAGGAACUGGUUACAAGGCAGAGG